rnacentral:rRNA from 1 species
GAUGAACGCUGGCGGCGUGCCUAAUACAUGCAAGUCGAGCGAACAGACGAGGAGCUUGCUCCUCUGACGUUAGCGGCGGACGGGUGAGUAACACGUGGAUAACCUACCUAUAAGACUGGGAUAACUUCGGGAAACCGGAGCUAAUACCGGAUAAUAUAUUUAACCGCAUGGUUCAAUAGUGAAAGACGGUUUUGCUGUCACUUAUAGAUGGAUCCGCGCCGCAUUAGCUAGUUGGUAAGGUAACGGCUUACCAAGGCGACGAUGCGUAGCCGACCUGAGAGGGUGAUCGGCCACACUGGAACUGAGACACGGUCCAGACUCCUACGGGAGGCAGCAGUAGGGAAUCUUCCGCAAUGGGCGAAAGCCUGCCGGAGCAACGCCGCGUGAGUGAUGAAGGUCUUCGGAUCGUAAAACUCUGUUAUUAGGGAAGAACAAAUGUGUAAGUAACUAUGCACGUCUUGACGGUACCUAAUCAGAAAGCCACGGCUAACUACGUG